CCUACGGGGGGCAGCAGUGAGGAAUAUUGGUCAAUGGGCGAGAGCCUGAACCAGCCAAGUCGCGUGAGGGAGUACUGCCCUAUGGGUUGUAAACCUCUGUUGUCGGGGAGCAAAAGCCGGACGUGUCCGGCUGUGAGAGUACCCGAAGAAAAAGCAUCGGCUAACUCCGUGCCAGCAGCCGCGGUAAUACGGGGGAUGCGAGCGUUAUCGGGAUUUAUUGGGUUAAAGGGGUGCGCAGGCGGAUUUUUAAGUCAGCGGUAAAAUCGUGGGGCUCAACCCCAUCCAGCCGUUGAAACUGGGGAUCUAGAGGGUGCGAGAGGUAUGCGGAAUGCGUGGUGUAGCGGUGAAAUGCAUAGAUAUCACGCAGAACCCCGAUUGCGAAGGCAGCAUACCGGUGCACAACUGACGCUCAGGCACGAAAGCGUGGGUAUCGAACAGGAUUAGAUACCCGGGUAGUC
rnacentral:rRNA from 1 species